rnacentral:rRNA from 1 species
UACGGAGGGAGCUAGCGUUGUUCGGAAUUACUGGGCGUAAAGCGCACGUAGGCGGCUUUGUAAGUAAGAGGUGAAAGCCUGGAGCUCAACUCCAGAAUAGCCUUUUAGACUGCAUCGCUUGAAUCCGGGAGAGGUGAGUGGAAUUCCGAGUGUAGAGGUGAAAUUCGUAGAUAUUCGGAAGAACACCAGUGGCGAAGGCGGCUCACUGGACCGGUAUUGAUGCUGAGGUGCGAAAGCGUGGGGAGCAAACAGG